rnacentral:piRNA from 1 species
UGCUACAAAAUGAAGGCCUCCGUAGU